rnacentral:rRNA from 1 species
AUUGAACGCUGGCGGCAGGCCUUACACAUGCAAGUCGAACGAGUGGCGGACGGGUGAGUAAUGUCUCGGAACCUGCCCGAUGGCGGGGGAUAACUACUGGAAAGGGUAGCUAAUACCGCAUACUAUUGGAUCUGCCCAUAUUGGAUUAGCUAGUUGGUGGGGUAACGGCUCACCAAGGCGACGAUCCCUAGCUGGUCUGAGAGGAUGACCAGCCACACUGGCACUGAGACACGGUCCAGACUCCUACGGGAGGCAGCAGUGGGGAAUAUUGGACAAUGGGGGAAAGCCUGAUGCAGCCAUCCCGCGUGUAUGAAGAAGGCCUUCGGGUUGUAAAGUACUUUUAGCAGGGAAGCGUUACUCGCAGAAGAAGCACCGGCUAACUACGUGCCAGCAGCCGCGGUAAUUC